CUCUUCCGAUGUGGCUAUUUUUAGAAAAGAAUGUACAUUUUGAGGUAUAUCUAAUUGAAGUUUCUUGGAUGCAGCCUUAUUAGAUUACAGCUCACUUAAUGCAGCAUUCCAACAUGAAAAGGUUCCCCACCACUGGU